UACGUAGGGGGGCUAGCGUUGUCCGGAAUCAUUGGGCGUAAAGAGCGUGUAGGCGGCCCGGUAAGUCCGCUGUGAAAGUCGGGGGCUCAACCCUCGAAUGCCGGUGGAUACUGUCGGGCUAGAGUGCGGAAGAGGCGAGUGGAAUUCCUGGUGUAGCGGUGAAAUGCGCAGAUAUCAGGAGGAACACCAAUGGCGAAGGCAGCUCGCUGGAACGGUACUGACGCUGAGGCGCGAAAGCGUGGGGAGCGAACAGG
rnacentral:rRNA from 1 species